rnacentral:lncRNA from 1 species
UAGAACUCCAAAAAUUUAUAACUCCACUAAUACAACAGUUAGCCUAUGAAAAUUGUCACAGUCAACUUUGGGGAAACUACAGAAUACAAUAAAUACCAAACAAUAACCAUGGUGUGCUUACUGCAGAAAAAUGCUACUGAAUCUUGUUAAGAAAAUUUUAUUACAUUAUUUCUGACUUCCUAAAGAAUUCCCCAUUUCUCAGCUUAGAUAUGGGCAAUUGAGCAGUGGCUCAGAUUUCUGCUGUGGCUUCCUGGUGCCAUAAAUGUAAAUAAAGAUCUUGUCUCUCUCUCUCUCUCUCUCUGUAUGUAUGUAUACACACACACACACACACAUAUAUACUUACAUACACAUAUAAAUAUAUGUGUAUAUAUUUUUAUAUAUACAUAUAACUCAGCCAUUAUAGUAUAAACCUCUUGUUAAUAGACUCAUGUUGUAAGUGGUUACCAUUUAAACAAGGUACUAACUUUUAUUUUGUUUUUGCUGCUGCCAUUUUAUCUGCCACCACUACACUUUGGAAAUAAUUCCCUGCCUUUAUUUUAUCUUUUGUUGGGACAAAAUGGGAAAAUGUUGCAUUUUAGUAGCUCUUCUCAUUCAGCUAUUGGGUAUUACUUAUUUGCAGUGGAAAUAAAAGGUAUUUUGGAGAAUAUUUAGUUUAUUCUUAUUUCAUUUUUCCCAAAUUAUUUAUGAUUUGAUGUCUCAUAUCUAUUAGGAAUAUUCAGAGAAACAUAACAAUACUGAUGAACAAUAGCUUGAGCAACUGAAUUUUAUUAUUACUUGAUAACAGAUAUUUCAGAGGAACGCUGAUUAGUAUAUCUGCUAAAUGAUGUCACGGCUGACACCUCUUCCUUCUCUUGAUCUUUCCCUCAUGACUAGAAGAUGCCAUCACAGCUCCAACAGAAAAUUAGAAUAUUUUUUGGUGAAAGUGAAUAGCCCAAAAGAAUACAUCCCCAGGUUUGACUUGGAGAAAGAACCACACAAAAAAUGGUAAAAUACCAAGAAAAUCAUGGAAACAAGGCCAGCCCAGCAUUCCCUACACAGUUCCUGUUUUACUCCAGCAG